UGCAGUCGACGGUAACAGGAAUUAGCUUGCUAAUUUGCUGACGAGUGGCGCACGGGUGCGUAACGCGUAUACAAUCUACCUUUUGCUGAGGGAUAGCCCAGAGAAAUUUGGAUUAAUACCUCAUGGUAUUAUUGAUAGGCAUCUAUUAAUAAUUAAAGGUUACGGCAAAAGAUGAGUAUGCGUCCCAUUAGCUAGUUGGCGAGGUAACGGCUCACCAAGGCAACGAUGGGUAGGGGUCCUGAGAGGGAGAUCCCCCACACUGGUACUGAGACACGGACCAGACUCCUACGGGAGGCAGCAGUGAGGAAUAUUGGACAAUGGGCGAGAGCCUGAUCCAGCCAUGCCGCGUGCAGGAAGACUGCCCUAUGGGUUGUAAACUGCUUUUAUACAGGAAGAAUAAGCCUUACGUGUAAGGUGAUGACGGUACUGUAAGAAUAAGGACCGGCUAACUCCGUGCCAGCAGCCGCGGUAAUACGGAGGGUCCGAGCGUUAUCCGGAAUUAUUGGGUUUAAAGGGUCCGUAGGCGGAUGAUUAAGUCAGGGGUGAAAGUUUGCAGCUCAACUGUAAAAUUGCCUUUGAUACUGGUUAUCUUGAGUUGUAUUGAAGUAGGC
rnacentral:rRNA from 1 species